UACGGGGGGGGCAAGCGUUAUUCGGAAUUACUGGGCGUAAAGGGCGCGUAGGCGGUCAGCACAAGUCAGUUGUGAAAUCUCCGGGCUUAACUCGGAAAGGUCAACUGAUACUGUGCGACUAGAGUGCAGAAGGGGCAACUGGAAUUCUCGGUGUAGCGGUGAAAUGCGUAGAUAUCGAGAGGAACACCUGCGGCGAAGGCGGGUUGCUGGGCUGACACUGACGCUGAUGCGCGAAAGCCAGGGGAGCGAACGGG
rnacentral:rRNA from 1 species